CCUACGGGUGGCUGCAGUGGGGAAUAUUGGACAAUGGGGGCAACCCUGAUCCAGCCAUGCCGCGUGUGUGAAGAAGGCCCUCGGGUUGUAAAGCACUUUCAGUGAGGAAGAACGCCUGGUGGUUAAUACCCAUCAGGAAAGACAUCACUCACAGAAGAAGCACCGGCUAACUCCGUGCCAGCAGCCGCGGUAAUACGGAGGGUGCGAGCGUUAAUCGGAAUUACUGGGCGUAAAGCGCGCGUAGGUGGCUUGAUAAGCCGGUUGUGAAAGCCCCGGGCUCAACCUGGGAACGGCAUCCGGAACUGUCAAGCUAGAGUGCAGGAGAGGAAGGUAGUAUUCCCGGUGUAGCGGUGAAAUGCGUAGAGAUCGGGAGGAAUACCAGUGGCGAAGGCGGCCUUCUGGACUGACACUGACACUGAGGUGCGAAAGCGUGGGUAGCAAACAGGAUUAGAUACCCUUGUAGUC
rnacentral:rRNA from 1 species